AUUUCAGCCAUAGGAAGUUUGUGUUUUUUUACAACUCUCCGUGGACGCAUCAUAACGCUACAGGUGCGUGACGUCAGGCGCCAAACGCGUUAAUUGGUCGCGUGGAGGCCACUUCGAGUUCAAAAUGCUGCGGCGGAACAGGCUGAGUCCAGACGGAACGAGGCGAAGGAUGAAGACACCGGGUCCAGCUCCGCUCACAAAACUCCCAUAACUGGAAAAGAAAAGAGAUGCUGAGAUAAACUCGUCCAACUUCAGGAGGAACUUUAAACCUCACACAGGAAGGUAGAUCUACGAACCAGUAAGUCUCAUUUUUCUUUUUAUUCUGUGUUGAAGGUGUCAUGGCCACCGUGUCAUGACUGACUGUUUAAACAGCUUCAGAUGUUUGUGUUGUGUCAUUGUUCGGCUGCUGUAUUGUUACUGUUGUUUUCUGACAACAUGUCUUCCCUCUGUCCAACAUGGCCGCCCGUUCAUUAUUUUUUGUCUUCCUUCUGUGAGGAACAGCUGAGCUGUUCACUGUGUCGGACAGAUGUCCUCAACACAAUCAGCGCAUGUAGUGGUCUUGUGGUGUUUGGACAGUGAGUUUAUUCAGAGGACUGCAGAAUGUUUGGAAGCUUUGGGAAAGAUUCAGUUUCUUUGUGUGUGCACUAAAGAAAAGACUGACUGUUCAGUUUGAUCUGUUCAUGAUGGUGAGACCAGGAAGAAUCAGGUGUUGAAUCAGAGCUGGAUUGAUGUAGUUCAGAGUGUGAACAGACUGAGACAGGAGGGUUUUUAUCUUCACUGAUGUGAUGAUAAAGGCAGGAAUGUGAAGUAUUUGUGAUGUUGUGUUAAAGUCAGAGUCUCUGUAAGCAGCCUGUUGACUGUAUGUUUAUUGAAGCGGUGUUGUCAUGGCCGCUGAGCUGUUACUGUUUUUCUGUCUGAUCAGCUUGGAUCAAUAUCUCUGCACUAACUUUUCCUUUUCAGGUGAAUCUACAGUCGGUGAGUCUCAUUUUCUCUUUAACUCUGUUGUGGUGUUGGAGGCUGCUGUGCUGCUCAUCUCUCUCUGUACCUCGGACCAACAGGCUUAAGAACUCCUUUGUUCAUUAUGCCAUCAUGCUCUACAACUCCUCACUUGGGGGGAGGAGGAGAUAGAGUUCAGAGGACAGAAGGGAAGGAGUAGUAGCCACUUAAUGUGCAAUAACCCACCCGGACACUCAAUAACCUUAUCCUCUGCCACAGUGCAUUAAUUUUAUUUAACCACAGGCCAUAUACAGUUCUCCAUAUUUAUUUAUCCUAUCUCAUUCUUAUUUUAUUCUAUUUAUAGUUUGUAUAUUUAGUUAAGAGUUUACAGUGUAUUUUUUUUUAUCCUAUUAAGAGUUUACUGUUUUAUUUCUUUAUCUAUUCUCUAUACCUGUUUGCAAGCAGUUGCUGUUGUUCUUUGCAAACUGUCCUGUGUGCUGUUUCUGUCCAUAUAAGCUGCUGGAAACUUAAUUUCCCUGAGGGAGUCAUCCCAAGGGAUCACUAAAGUCUAGUCUAAGUCUAACACUGCAUCUAAACAUUACUGAGAAUUAAACUCAUGUUUGUUUUCUUCAGUAGAAAUGAAACUGAAAAAUUCCUUAUGACUCAUAACAGUAUCUGUUGUCAUAAUCUUGAUAUUUAAAUGUGUUUCAGAUCAUUCAGUCCUACUCUAGACUUGUUCUAUUUAGACUUGUGUAAAAAAACAAAACCUGAGGUUGUGUCUGUUUAACUGUAACUCUGAGUAGAAAACUCCUCGAUGCAUCAUCACAAACACAUUUCCACCAUGUUGUUACAGUUGAUCAUUUUCACUGUUUAGAACUAAAGUGUAGAAACCUAUGAAUGAGGUUUUUAACCAGAUGUGACCUUUGAUAGAAACUGUCAGCUAACAUGAUAAAUAACAUGAACUCCUGUUCCAGUGAUAAACAGCAGCUGCAGAAAGAGACAUGAGCUGUGUCCAGAAACAUCAGCUGACAGCUUGGGUUAGAAUGAAAGCUCAGUGUUACUGUGAUUAAAACUAACAGAUUGUUUACUGCUGCACAAGUUAACACACUGCUGUGUUCAUUUAUUGUAUCUGUAGCAGAAAAUUACAAAAACAACAAUGUCACAACAUGUUAAUCCAAAGCCAUCAGUCUGUCACUCAUUCACAAACUGAAACUCAAACACACAACUGUCAACAGUUUUCAGCUACAAAUCAUCAGGUUUGCGUUUUUUUUUUUUUUUUUUUUUUUUUUUUUUUUUUUUUUUUUUUUUUUUAGU